rnacentral:rRNA from 1 species
GACGAACGCUGGCGGCGUGCUUAACACAUGCAAGUCGAACGGUAAGGCCCCGUCGGUGGUGCACGAGUGGGGGACGGGUGAGUAACAAGUGAGCAAGUUACCCUUGACUCUGGAAGAACAGAUUGAAACAGCCGCGAAUACUGGAUAGUCAUCAGCUCCUUCCGGGGGGUGGGUGGUAGACUCCGGCGGUGGGGGAUGGUCUCGCGGCUUAUCAGCUUGUUGGUGGGGUAGUGGCUCACCAAGGCUUCGACGGGUAGCCGGCCUGAGAGGGUGACCGGCCACACUGGGACUGAGAUACGGCCCAGACUCCUACGGGAGGCAGCAGUGGGGAAUAUUGCACAAUGGGCGCAAGCCUGAUGCAGCAACGCCGCGUGCGGGAUGACGGCCUUCGGGUUGUAAACCGCUUUCAGUAGGGACGAAGGGUGACUGACGGUACCUACAGAAGAAGGACCGGCUAACUACGUG